GACGAACGCUGGCGGCGUGCCUAAUACAUGCAAGUAGAACGCUGAAGGAGGAGCUUGCUUCUCCGGAUGAGUUGCGAACGGGUGAGUAACGCGUAGGUAACCUGCCUGGUAGCGGGGGAUAACUAUUGGAAACGAUAGCUAAUACCGCAUAAGAGUAGAUGUUGCAUGACAUUUGCUUAAAAGGUGCAAUUGCAUCACUACCAGAUGGACCUGCGUUGUAUUAGCUAGUUGGUGGGGUAACGGCUCACCAAGGCGACGAUACAUAGCCGACCUGAGAGGGUGAUCGGCCACACUGGGACUGAGACACGGCCCAGACUCCUACGGGAGGCAGCAGUAGGGAAUCUUCGGCAAUGGACGGAAGUCUGACCGAGCAACGCCGCGUGAGUGAAGAAGGUUUUCGGAUCGUAAAGCUCUGUUGUAAGAGAAGAACGAGUGUGAGAGUGGAAAGUUCACACUGUGACGUAUCUACCAGGAAAGGACGG
rnacentral:rRNA from 1 species